rnacentral:miRNA from 1 species
CAUUGGAAGAAAAGAGAACGAGA